rnacentral:lncRNA from 1 species
UGAAGGGUGAAGAGACCAUCCUGCAGUUCAGCUCAGGGACCUUGACAUUGACCCGACGGCCAAAGCCACAGCCUGAGCCUUUGAGUUACCCUGUGCUGGAGUGGGAGGACAUCACCUUUGAGGACCUCAUCGGGGAGGGGAACUUCGGCCAAGUGAUCCGGGCCAUGAUCAAGAAGGACGGACUCAAGAUGAACGCAGCCAUCAAGAUGCUGAAAGAGUAUGCGUCUGAAAAUGACCACCGAGACUUUGCAGGGGAACUAGAAGUUCUGUGCAAACUAGGACACCACCCCAAUAUUAUCAACCUCUUGGGGGCCUGUGAGAACCGAGGCUACUUGUAUAUUGCGAUCGAAUAUGCCCCGUAUGGAAACCUGCUAGAUUUCCUGAGAAAG